rnacentral:antisense_RNA from 1 species
GCUUAUAAUAAAAUAAAAUAAGAUUUAAUCAUAUUAUGUUUCUGUAAUUUCUCUUAAUUUAUUCUUAUCUUCGUUUAAUAAGUAUUUUGUCUUGAUAGAAUUAAAGUAAAUUGCAAUACAAGAUAAUGGAAAACUUACAUGACCGUCAUAUCCGAUACAUGCCAAUAUUUGUCCUAGAGAAUGCCAAUAUAUUCGUUCCUAUAUAUAAUUACUGCCUUCAAUGAAAAAAAAAGAACGCAAAACUUACUAUUGAGCCUAUACUUUCAAACUUGUUUAAUUGUGAAAUGGUUUUAUUCCUGCCUAAUUCGUUUAUAUUAGGAGAAUCUGUUGAUUUCCAAAUUAUCAAAGUAUUGUCCUCAUGUAAGCUUGCAAGCUUGUAAAAGUCUGAAAAUAAUGCAAGUUUUGACCAAGAAAUGUCUUUAAUUAUUCCUGCAUUGUUAACAGCUAUCGUUUCAACACAAUUCCAAAAAAUAGAUUUUUUUUUGAAUAUAUAAAUAUGAUUACUAAUUGCAACUGUAAUCCCAAUACCACUACUCACGUGGUAUGGUAUCCAAUCCAAACAACAUGUAUAAUGUUUCUCCAUAUUUGCGAUGCCCAAAUCUACAAAAUGGUCGGUUUUUCUAACCUUAAGUGUCUCUAACUCCCAUUCUGCUUUCAUUGCCAUAUCGUUGCAUUUGAAAAUCCCAACAAUACCGUUAGAGUCACAUGCAGCAAAAAUUAAUCCAUGAUCCUUAUCUGCAAACUUAAUAUUGCUGAUCUUGCCUUUAAAAGGAGAAAAAGCAGUCGUAAGCUUCCAGGAACUACCAUUAUUAAUAUCGAAAAAUGUACCAUUUUUAAAACCAAGACCAUUUUCAAAAACAAAAUUAUUUCUUAUAAUAUGAUAUGUAUCUUGAUAUCCUUUUCUAGUCUCUGACCAAAUUGAAAUGUUCUUUUGUGUGGUACCAGCCACGAAUAAUUGACCAAAACACUCUGGUGCCCACGAAAUUCUUGAAAUAGUACCAACAAUACUGCUAUCAUAAAGAGUGGACGUCUCCACCCAAAUUAAUCUAAACAAAUAAUCGUAAUUGGAGCAUGUUGGAAGAAGAUCAAAAAUAUGGAAAUUUUGCUUAAUAUCUGCUGUUACAAGCCUAUCACCUACAGAAAUAUGUAAUAAUUAAAAACUGAGUAAACUUUAUCUACUCACCAGAAGAAUGAUAAGAAACUUCUGUGAUAUAUUCGUUCUUUUUUAUUUCAUUGAUAAUAUCACUAAAAAUCAUUUCUUUUGUUAUUUCCGCCAAAAAAAGAAAUAAAAAAAAG